rnacentral:rRNA from 1 species
CGUGGGGAACCUGCCCCAUAGUCUGGGAUACCACUUGGAAACAGGUGCUAAUACCGGAUAAGAAAGCAGAUCGCAUGAUCAGCUUUUAAAAGGCGGCGUAAGCUGUCGCUAUGGGAUGGCCCCGCGGUGCAUUAGCUAGUUGGUAAGGUAAAGGCUUACCAAGGCGAUGAUGCAUAGCCGAGUUGAGAGACUGAUCGGCCACAUUGGGACUGAGACACGGCCCAAACUCCUACGGGAGGCAGCAGC